rnacentral:rRNA from 1 species
UACAGAGGUCCCAAGCGUUGUUCGGAUUCACUGGGCGUAAAGGGUGCGUAGGCGGUCAGGUAAGUCUGGUGGGAAAUCUCACAGCUUAACUGUGAAACUGCAUUGGAUACUAUUCGGCUUGAGAGUUGGAGGGGGGACUGGAAUUCUUGGUGUAGCAGUGAAAUGCGUAGAUAUCAAGAGGAACACCAGUGGCGAAGGCGAGUCGCUGGACAGCUUCUGACGCUGAGGCGCGAAAGCUAGGGGAGCGAACAGG